CACACCCUCUAGCCAUGCUCCCAGACACUGAAAUCCAGAGCAGAGCCUGUUGCUGUCUCUUUCCUCUGCUGCUCAGCACAGGGACAGGUUCAGCUGUGCUCUCACCUGCAAGGUCUAGAUUGAUCGAUUGGAGAACCCCGUUUCUUUCCUAGGAUUGAAGCACUCUGUCUUCAAGAGCGAGUGGGGAAUGCAGAGAUAUCCUAGCAGCAAGCCCCACUUUCCAGUAACUGAAGUCAUCUGCAGACACUGAGACCGUCCUUCGGAGGUGGGGCAGCUGAGAACCAUUGAAUACGGGAAGGCGUCUGAAGGCUCGUGGAAGCAGGGAUGCAGAAACACAUCCUCAUCACCUCCCGUCUCGCCUUCUCCCUCAGGAGAGCUAGAAGUACAGUCCUCCCAGCAAGGUCCAGGGAGAAAGAGCUUGGUUGGUGGAGGCUCACGUGUGAGCUGGAGAGAGCGUGGGUUUCUUCAUCUCCAUGGGGGUGAUGGGAUCCCAGUACUUCUGAAGUGGGACAGUGGGACUGAAGCCUCACAGACAGGAAAGGCACUCGUUCACUAACCACACCUGGGCAGAGAUGGCCACACUGAUGUUUUAUCAGGCGAUUUUGCCUUGAUCAGGCCAGCUGCUUCGGGGAGGUGGGAAGGCUAGCACAAAGCCUCUGUGAAUGCUUGCAUUUGCUCCUUGGUGCUCACUCAUGCUUCCUCAGAGCGAAAGCUCCCCACUCCUCCAGCGUGCUUGGGCACAGCUGAGUAGGCGGGACAUGACGUGCCAAUUUGCUCUUCCUUCCCCGAAGGCCGCUUCCAGACCAUAUUUUUUAAUUUACAGAAUUUCUUAUCUAUUCCCUUGUUAUCCUGGAUACCAAUAUUUCUGCUAGCCAGAGAAUCCUUCAAACAAGAAAGACCCGGACUACGAAUCUUUAGAAUACACUGCUCUUUAUAGCCCCAGAGCAGCAGGCUCUAUAAUAUGGGGGGAUGCCUAUGACGGGCCAGCUAUAAUCCCAACUGAGGGAGGGCAUCUGGGCAGUAGGCUGGGGUUCUGCUGAUAUCAGGUGCUGACCGUUCCAUAGCCAGUGUGCUUGGACCUGAGCCCCGAGGAAGAUGGGAGCAUCCUUCCUCCGGGAUUUUACCCAAUAACCUAUAUGAACAUUUUGUGCUGUCUUCCUGAUCUUGAGCUACAG
rnacentral:lncRNA from 1 species